rnacentral:rRNA from 1 species
UGUGUCAAAACCGUCACCAGGUAAGUCCAGCUAUGCUAGCGCGUACUUUGGUGUCUGCUGGUUAGCAUCAAUUUUGAUUGUCAUAAAAAGGUUAAGGGGAUGUGGCUCCCUUUCGGGGGAGUGUUAUAACCCUUGGCGGAAUGUGACGAUUGGGUUUGAGGUUUGCAACGAAUACCUUUAGGGCAGUUCCUUCUGGUCUCUUGUUGACAUUCAGAUGGCGACAGCUUGCUGACGUUGUUUGAAUAGUUUGCGAAUAGAUUGGAAUGUGAAUUAA